UACAGAGGGUGCGAGCGUUAAUCGGAAUUACUGGGCGUAAAGCGCGCGUAGGCGGCUUUGCAAGUCGGGUGUGAAAUCCCCAGGCUUAACCUGGGAACUGCAUUCGAGACUGCAUUGCUAGAGUAUGGGAGAGGGAAGUGGAAUUUCCGGUGUAGCGGUGAAAUGCGUAGAUAUCCGGAGGAACCCCAGAGGCGAAGGCGGCGCCCUGGCUCGCAACUGACGCUCAGACACGACAGCAUGGGGAGCGAACGGG
rnacentral:rRNA from 1 species